GGGAAUGAGGAAUCUGUCCGUACCAAACCAUCCAAACCCAAAAACCCUUUUGAGGAUGGAAAGGGUGCGAACGGUGGCAACGUAUGUUAGGGUUCCGGCGUCGGAAGAGAGAGAGAAUUGCCAUCGAAAUGCUCUUGAAGCGGCGAUUUCACAUGUGGAUUGCCAAAACCUGAGGGAAACCUGAUGGCAUAUUACAACAGUAAUUAUAUAGUUUUCAAUCUGAAUCUUCUACAAUUGCUGCUCGCAUUUUCGCUCUUCCCUCUCUCUUCUCCGUGCCAUCUCUUCUCCGUUGCUUUCCUCCUUCGCUCCCUCCGAAGCCUCGUGAUGAUGCUUUUCUGAAGGCUUCCCCCCGCCCUCUCCUUAACUUUUUCUGCUUAUGAAUUUUCUAUGCUUUAUUGAUUUUCGAAAUCCGUCUCUCCUUUUCCGUCUUUCGUUGUUCUUCAGAAGAGUGUGAAUCUUAGCUGUAGGAAACUAGUAUGAUAUUUUUUCUUUUUUGAACAACUAUCUUGAAAUCAAUCAUUUCAAACCUGAGAUUUCGAUGUCCAUGGGUCUGCUGUUUGAUGGAGUUUGUUUUUCUGGUUGGUGGCGUUCUGAAGGAACUGGUUUAAUUGUAUUUGGGAUAGGAACAUGAUAUUUUCACCAUUGUGGUUUACGUUUUCCUUUAAAUUAUAUCUAUAGUUGAGAAAUAUAACAAUCACUCUUUGUUGAAGAGGAACUAUUUGUUGCGCAGAAGUAUUAGAAAUUAUGUUGACAUAUAGGUUUGAAUCUUUGGUCUUCAAACUGGAUUCAAAUUGUAAGAGUAACCUACAUUUGAGAUCCGGUGCAAGGCCCCAACUUUUGAAGUUGCAAUUAGAAAAGAAGGUUAUUCUGGAAAAACGAAUAAAUUAUUGCAGUCUAUUUUCUGGACCUGUUCCUUGCCUUUUGAGUUGUACACCUCUCCAUGUAGGAAAAAGAGUAAAAUUCAAAUUUAUUUAACAUAAUAUGAGGUUGUAUUUUCUAUUUGCAUCACAUAGUUGUGGUAGAAUUGCAUUUAUCAGAGUUAAUUGUUCUUUAGUUACAAUGUGAUUGGAUUAUUCUUUUUUAUCUUCGUUAUGGAAUUCUAUGCCCUGUAACCAAUGCUAAUUUUCUCUUAUGAGUUAUGACCCAAUUUUGGAAACAUAUUUAUUUCCUUCUAAUAGGUGAUGGAUAAUCAAUUCAGCUACGAAUUUUGUUCACUACGACUGGUCUUUGCUAAAAGGAUGAGAAAGACAUAACGUUGUGUUUCUUGUGAAAGUUGACAUCUAAGUAAAUGCUAGAUCUGGAUUGUUUGUUCAAACGAAAGAAGAUCAUGUUUAUAACGUAGCUUGUUUGUUCAUGAGGUGAAUUGAACCCUGCAAGUAACUGGAUUGUCAGUAGGUAGGCAAAAGGUGUAUCUUUGAUAUAUAUAAUAAAUCCAAUUUCUGGAUAGAUAAAAUGGUUUUCCCGUAGAAAUUGCGACAAAAAAAGCACGUCAAAAGUUCUUCAAAGGUUUUGUUCUCUUAACUUUACCCUUCAUCCUUUGUGAACUCGACAUUAGCAAUUGUCUUACACUCAGACACAGGACAUCACAAUGAUGUGCACAUCUCAGGUGCCAAACGAGGGGAGUGCUUGAAGAUGUACAAGAUACUUGAAGGGACUGUAGUUGUUUGAUAAACAUAUUGUUCUUUGUCUAGGAUAUUGGGAAUUUUCAUGUAGAUGUUUUAGGACUGUCAAUUUUACUUUAUUUGGUUUAAUCGUGUUGUUGUGCUUUACUUAGUCUUCAUAUGAACGUUAUAUUAUUUUAUCCACUGGAUUACCACGAGAUAGUCUCGUAAUUACCCACAAGCUAGCCUAUGUAUAAAGAAAUUGCUUGGUUCCCAGAUUGUGAUUUAUAUCUUCUUUUAACCAUUGAAAAGA